rnacentral:tRNA from 1 species
GCGCCCUUAGCUCAGCUGGUAGAGCAGGUCCCUCUUAAGGACAAGGUCGAAGGUUCGAUCCCUUCAGGGCGCA